ACUCAAAUGAAUAGACGGGGACCCGCACAAGCGGUGGAGCGUGUUGUUUAAUUCGAUGGUAAGCGAAGAACCUUACCAAGGUUUGACAUCCUAGGAAUCUUCCCGAAAGGAAAGAGUGCUUUAUUGAGCCUAGUGACAGGUGUUGCAUGGCCGUCGUCAGCUCGUGUCGUGAGAUGUUUGGUUAAGUCCAUCAACGAGCGCAACCCUUAUAGUUAGUUGGAUUUUUCUAGCUAGACUGCCCCGGCAACGGGGAGGAAGGAGGGGAUGAUGUCAGGUCAGUAUUACCCUUACACCUUGGGCUACAAACACGCUACAAUGGCCGGUACAAAGGGCAGCCAACCCGCGAGGGGGAGCAAAUCCCAUCAAAGCCGGUCUCAGUUCGGAUUGCAGGCUGAAACUCGCCUGCAUGAAGCUGGAAUCGCUAGUAACGGUAGGUCAGCUACACUACCGUGAAUACGUUCCCGGGUCUUGUACACACCGCCCGU
rnacentral:rRNA from 1 species